GACGAACGCUGGCGGCGUGCUUAACACAUGCAAGUCGAACGGAAAGGCCCUGCUUGCAGGGUACUCGAGUGGCGAACGGGUGAGUAACACGUGGGUGAUCUGCCCUGCACUUCGGGAUAAGCCUGGGAAACUGGGUCUAAUACCGGAUAGGAGCCAUUUUUCGUGUGAUGGUUGGAAAGUUUUUUUCGGUGUAGGAUGAGCUCGCGGCCUAUCAGCUUGUUGGUGGGGUAAUGGCCUACCAAGGCGGCGACGGGUAGCCGGCCUGAGAGGGUGGACGGCCACAUUGGGACUGAGAUACGGCCCAGACUCCUACGGGAGGCAGCAGUGGGGAAUAUUGCACAAUGGGCGCAAGCCUGAUGCAGCGACGCCGCGUGGGGGAUGACGGCCUUCGGGUUGUAAACUCCUUUCGCUAGGGACGAAGCUUUUUGUGACGGUACCUAGAUAAGAAGCACCGGCUAACUACGUG
rnacentral:rRNA from 1 species